UGGUUUUCUGCUGCUGGAUGUUGUGAGGCAUGCAGGUUCCAAAGGGGGAAUGGUGGACAAGGCUGCUGUUAGCAGUUGCCUUUGGUUUUUGCAAUGUUUCAGUUCUGUUGUGUUUUUUUUGACAGAAAAUCCUCAAUACAAAUAACAAGGUCAGGUUUUGGGAGAGUGCUGUAUGCAGUUUUUUAGAGGCUGCUUAUGCUGUGUUGUGGCUACCAUUUAGUGCUUAGCUUUGAUGGAUGCUGUUGGUUUAACAUGAUGAAGAGAUGUGAAAAAUGUAAUGGCUAGGUUUUU
rnacentral:lncRNA from 1 species